ensembl:lncRNA
AGCAAACACCACCAGCUACAUUCAACAAACCUCCUGCAUCACCACUUAAAAAAUCUACAUGCACUUCUGUGCAAGGGUUACCCAGUUUACAGGAUUUAAUGACAAAUGAUGCACAAGUUCCACCAGAAUAUGCACAUGAUAACCACGAAAAACUUCCAUUAGCUUCCAUUUUAACACCACAAUUAGAAAGUGUCUCAGGUUACACACCAGCAAGCCAGUGUCACACAGUAUAUUCAAAGCAUUCCUCCAACUCAACCACUUCACUCCAACCAAACAAUCUUGGAGAGUUUAAUGAUGAAGAAAGCGCCACUAAUCACCACGUUAGACCCACGAUCCAGCUGUUUAAGCUGGACGACUUAGACCACGCAAAGUGGUGUAUAUUCAAGGCCCACUGGGAGCAGCUAAAAGAGAUGGAAGCUUUAUGUCGUAAAGAGGGGAAGCUUCUGUGCCAGCAGCCUGAUAUGGCAUUUGGAGAAUAUGUCCAGCAGCUGGAGGAAAUCAUGGAGAAAAAGGCUUGGUGUGUACACAGCAUGAGAGCUCAGCUACAGCCAUAUCUGAAGCCCAUCACCUCAAUCCACCCACAGGGAGCAGACGAUCACAGAUCAACUAGUUGAAUUUGAGUUAAUAAUACUUAUGUUUUUGUGCAAUGUUUUCAGUGACAACAAUAACUGCAGCUUGCUACAUAUCGUACAUAUAUGGUCAUCCUAUAUGCUUUGUUAUGUUUAAGUAAAUUGAGCUUGAUGAGUUCUUGGACAGCUGUCACUUGAUGUGUUUGAUGUCAAAAUGCAUGAUGCACUAAGGGUUUUACUGGUGAAACGUACAAUCAUAUGUUUUUCUUUCAUGGUGACAGUAAUAUAUAUGGAAUUCUGAUUCUGCCACUAAAGAUAGUUCUUUCUAUCUAUUUUUUCUUAGCCUCUGUCCAUGAAAACUGCUGAUUUUGUAAUUUUUCAUUAAAGAAAAUCUUUGGUUUUAAUCUUAAUGCAUGUUUUAUUCACAGCACCACUAUCUGGACAAAGCUAAAUCUGUGUCUCUGGGUUGACAACUCAUAGAACCACGCAUUUGUUUGAGCUUGAUCUCAGAUUGUAAUAGAAAUGCUUGCUUAGCAGACUGUUUUCUAGUGUUAAAUUUUUUAAGAUUUCAAGAUUGCUGAUAUCUGUUAUGUUGUGAUCUCUGAAUUUGAAAUCUUCCUCUUUAAAUGUCAGUGUUUAACUUUGGGUAAUGUGUGCACAUUUUUCCACAGAGGGCAACUGAAAAUCAAUAAAAUAAGGACUAAAAAAAGUA